CAAAUAUCCGAAACAACAUUCCAAUUUUCUGUUGAUCGAAUUUUAAUUUAAUUAAAGAAACAAAUUGGUAAAAUUAAUUUAGUUCAUUAACAUCAAGCCACAUACACGACCGUCACAUAAUUGGCAUAUUAAAAUUUUUCGUUCAAUGUUUAAU